rnacentral:rRNA from 1 species
UACGUAGGGACCAAGCGUUGUCCGGAUUUACUGGGCGUAAAGAGCGCGCAGGCGGUCGUUCAAGUCGCGUGUGAAAGCCCCCGGCUCAACUGGGGAGGGUCAUUCGAUACUGAUCGACUCGAAGGCAGGAGAGGGUAGUGGAAUUCCCGGUGUAGUGGUGAAAUGCGUAGAUAUCGGGAGGAACACCGGUGGCGAAGGCGGCAUCCUGGACCGGCAUUGACGCUGAGGCGCGAAAGCUAGGGGAGCAAACGGG